rnacentral:rRNA from 1 species
UACGUAGGGUGCAAGCGUUAAUCGGAAUUACUGGGCGUAAAGCGUGCGCAGGCGGUUCGGAAAGAAAGAUGUGAAAUCCCAGGGCUUAACCUUGGAACUGCAUUUUUAACUACCGGGCUAGAGUGUGUCAGAGGGGGGUAGAAUUCCACGUGUAGCAGUGAAAUGCGUAGAGAUGUGGAGGAAUACCGAUGGCGAAGGCAGCCCCCUGGGUCAAUACUGACGCUCAUGCACGAAAGCGUGGGGAGCAAACAGG